UACGGGGGGAGCAAGCGUUGUUCGGAUUUACUGGGCGUAAAGGGCGCGUAGGCGGUCGUGACAAGUCACUUGUGAAAUCUCCGGGCUUAACUCGGAACGGUCAAGUGAUACUGUCGGACUAGAGUACAGAAGGGGCAACUGGAAUUCUCGGUGUAGCGGUGAAAUGCGUAGAUAUCGAGAGGAACACCUGCGGCGAAGGCGGGUUGCUGGGCUGAUACUGACGCUGAGGCGCGGAAAGCCAGGGAGCGAACGGG
rnacentral:rRNA from 1 species